rnacentral:rRNA from 1 species
GACGAACGCUGGCGGCGUGCUUAACACAUGCAAGUCGAACGGAAAGGCCCUGCUUUUGUGGGGUGCUCGAGUGGCGAACGGGUGAGUAACACGUGUGUAACCUGCCCUUGACUUUGGGAUAACUUCAGGAAACUGGGGCUAAUACCGGACAGGAGCUCCUGCUGCAUGGUGGGGGUUGGAAAUUUUCGGCGGUCGGGGAUGGACUCGCGGCUUAUCAGCUUGUUGGUUGGGUAGUGGCUUACCAAGGCUUUGACGGGUAGCCGGCCUGGGAGGGUGAACGGCGACAUUGGGACUGAGAUACGGCCCAGACUCCAACGGGAGGCAGCAGUGGGGAAUAUGGCACAAUGGGCGGAAGCCUGAUGCAGCAACGCCGCGUGCGGAAUGACGGCCUUCGGGUUGUAAACCGCUUUCGCCUGUGACGAAGCGUGAGUGACGGUAAUGGGUAAAGAAGCACCGGCUAACUACGUG